GUUUACCGUGAAAAAAUUAGAGUGUUCAAAGCAGGCAGAUCCAAUUUUCUGCCACCGAAUACAUUAGCAUGGGAUAAUGGAAUAGGACCCUGUCCUCCUAUUUUCAGUUGGUUUUGGCAGCGCGAGGACUAGGGUAAUGAUUAAUAGGGAUAGUUGGGGGCAUUAAUAUUUAAUUGUCAGAGGUGAAAUUCUUGGAUUUAUGAAAGAUUAACUUCUGCGAAAGCAUCUGCCAAGGAUGUUUUCAUUAAUCAAGAACGAAAGUUAGGGGAUCGAAGACGAUCAGAUACCGUCGUAGUCUUAACCAUAAACGAUGCCGACCAGCGAUUAGGAGACGUUGAAUACAAAACACCACCAUCGGCGCGGUCGUCCUUGGCGUCUGUCCCUUUCAACGGGGGCAGGCGCGAGGGCGGUUUAGCCCGGUGGCACCGGUGAAUGACUCCCU
rnacentral:rRNA from 1 species